rnacentral:rRNA from 1 species
AAAACGACUCUCGGCAACGGAUAUCUCGGCUCUCGCAUCGAUGAAGAACGCAGCGAAAUGCGAUACUUGGUGUGAAUUGCAGGAUCCCGCGAACCAUCGAGUCUUUGAACGCAAGUUGCGCCCGAAGCCUUCUGGCCGAGGGCACGUCUGCCUGGGUGUCACGC